CAGCAGCCGCGGUAAUACGGAGGGGGCUAGCGUUGUUCGGAAUUACUGGGCGUAAAGCGCACGUAGGCGGCUUGGUAAGUUAGAGGUGAAAGCCUGGAGCUCAACUCCAGAAUUGCCUUUAAGACUGCCGAGCUAGCAGAUGAGAGAGGUAAGUGGAAUUCCGAGUGUAGAGGUGAAAUUCGUAGAUAUUCGGAAGAACACCAGUGGCGAAGACGGCUUACUGGCUCAUACUGGACGCUGAGGUGCGAAAGCGUGGGGAGCAAACAGGAUUAGAGACCCCGGUAGUCCCUGUCUCUUAUAC
rnacentral:rRNA from 1 species